rnacentral:rRNA from 1 species
AUCUAUGGCCACACCACCCUGAACGAUUUUGUCUGAUCUCAGAAACUAAGCAGGGUCAGGCCUGGUUUGUACUUGGAUGGGAGACUACCUAGGAAGACCAGGUGCACUAGGUG